UUAAAUAAAAUAAGUAAAUUGGCAUUCAAGCCAUAUUUUUGAUCAAUUGGAAUAUUUGUUUACAACCAAAUCUAAGAAAUUCAUACUUGCGAGAUUGUUGCCAUCCAGCUGUUGUCAGAUAAAUAUAAACAUUCAAGAACUAUUCGCCCCCAAACAACUUUUACGAUAUUAACGCUGCGAUUUUUUUUUUUAUAGAUUUAUAUCUACGAUUUGCCGUAUAGUAUUUUUUUAUUGAAAUAGGAAACUUUGUGCAUAUUGCAUGCAUCAAAUGGUACAACAACAACAACAAGAACAAGGAUAAGAAACUUCUUCACUUGCAACAUUUUGUUGUUGUUGGCCGUUUUUUAUGACAAAGAACGAAAUGAGAUGAAAUUAUUGACGGAAAAAACGGAAAUCGCUGGCAAUAGUCAAAGGAAAUAAAAGCGAAAUUACUUUUGAUAAAGCAACGGCAAGGACUACUACUAAAACUACACACACUCGUAAAAGCGAAGAGAAAACAGCAGGAAGUUAGCUACAAGAGGGCGUUGAUUUGUCACAAGUAGAAUUAUGAGAGUCGGGCUUCCAGGAUGGGCUGAAGCAGCUGCCGGAGACAACAACAAGAAGAAGAAGAAGAAGAGCUGCUGCGAGGGCAACAACAAACACUUCAAUUACCGGAAAACGUGUCUGAUAAUACCUCCCGAGAUUUGAGCCCAGCAAGCAGCAUGGCCAAAAAAGUAUACCCUGUAAGCUGCGGCAGAAUGGAACUCAGUUGUGCCAGCAUCUUUUUUAUGCGCUGCUCUGCUUUCUGUUUGAUGCUCAUAAAAAAAUAGAGGAAAAAACAAAACCCUAACGAAAGGACGCAAAAUGUGCAACAUGCUACUUUGGGAGUGUCCUGCAAUUUUUCAGCAAAAAGCAAAAAAAGGCAAGCAAUAAAUUAGAUGUGCCAUCUUCAAGAUACCUGAGGAGAACUCUCUCUGUCUCUCUCUGGAACAACGCAACAGCCGCAACAUAAACUAAUAAUCAAGUCCUAGGACUCCGAGUAAACACUUGAGCGUGGCCUGCUCUGCCUGCUUACAAGAAUUUUCCAUUUCCGCUCAAAGGCAAUGGACACACACACAGCUGAAGACGCAGUUGCGGCCAAUUCCUGUGCCUAUUACCGACUUGACCAGAGCCGAGGUCUGGGCAUUUGCGGAAAUUGCAAAAUUUCUGCACCGUAAUAAGAUGAAAUUAAGUUUGCACACAAAGCAAAUAACAAGCCUAGCCCGGACAAAUAUCGAUGCUACCCGCCGAUCCCGCUGGAGUCCAUGCGAAGCCAACUCUGUGGGAGGCUCAGCCACGCAGCAAAUGAACCACUAAUUGCGUGCCGAAAUGCAAUUUAGUGAACUUUGGCCCAAACCCAAAAACAAACACAAGACAUCGACAAAUACACAAGCAAACACCGGACAGCGUGUGUGUGUGUGUAGAUGGGUGUGCGGCUGACCAAAUGACCAAAGCGCCUGCCUGCAACAAUUAAAUUGAAAAUUAAGCAAAAGUCUUGAGAAGUGCAAACAGACGUGGCUGCCACAAUUUACAUUGAUAAUGCCCAGGCUGCUGUGGCAACAUGUAUCGGGGCGCAUUCGUUUAAUUAUGCAACCGUUAAAGGCUUUAAUCCUUUCAACCUUUUUUUAUUUUUGUUGCUUAGAUGUGCUGCUAUACCCGUCGAGGCGUUGAGUGUUGACAUUGAUAAAUUACUUGGCAUUUGUUUUAAGCGUGAUUUAUCGCGCCCGUCGCCCGUCGCCUGCCGCCCGGUGACACAUUGACACGUGUCCUUACUUUUUGUCUGAUUUUUAAUUAAAUGCAAACAAAAAUGACCAUUUGAUAAGCCUCGGACCAUACCCAAUGCAUAUGCAUGCAUAUAUGGAGGAGUUCCGUUUUGUGUUCUGUUCAAAACCAUUUGCCAGAGUUUUUAACUCAUAUUUAAAACGCACUCAUUUUCGGGCUCGGUUUGGCAACUGCAACUGCAUUUUUAUAGACUUGACUGCAUUCAUGAAAAUUCAUUGCCUUUGCCCCGUGUGCAAUCGGACUCCAACCAAUUCCCCUUCUCUGCGGCCCUUCAUAGGCCGUUGCACUCUUGUGGCACAACAAUUUUCAACUUAAUGAUGUUGCCAAAUGCAUUGGCAAAUAUGUUUCGCAUGUUUCGCACACACAGCUUCAGAAAUCAAGAAUUAAAUGCAUUCUCCAUUCAAUGAAUAUGAAAUGCUCUUCAUAUGACACACAACUUUACGUUGUAGGAAUUCAUUAAAUUGGGCAGUACUACGGAAUACGAGAGCUCAAACCAGCUGAGAGUUAAGAAUUGAUUGUAAACAUGAAUUAUAACUAUCCUAUAGAGUGAAAUAUCUCCGAUCCUAUAAGGUAUAUAUAUAUGAUUGAUAACUAUGAAUGUUCUGUCUGUCGGUUUCUAUACAAACUCAGUUCGUCAGGUUCGUCUUUCGGCUGCAGGCAAAGGUCUAAAUGAUAAUAAAUUGAAGCAAAUCGUGUCGUGCUUAUCACGAGUCACGAAAAAAUCACGACUCUAGCCAACAUACAAAUUACUUUUUACACCGUUUUGAGGCUUUUUCUAUUCGAAUCUGGCUGUUGGCUUAUUAACUUGGCUAAAUGCAGGCAUUAAAUAUUAACCCCGACAAUUGAUCAACAACUAUCUAAAUUGUGCAGUUUAUUCGGACA